rnacentral:rRNA from 1 species
GAUACGAGAGUGCCUUCGGAACCUACACACAGGUGCUGCACGGCUGUCGUCAGCUCGUGUCGUGAGAUGUUGGGUUAAGUCCCGGCAACGAGCGCAACCCUUGUCCUUAGUUACCAUCAUUAAGUUGGGGACUCUAAGGAGACUGCCGGUGAUAAACCGGAGGAAGGUGGGGACGACGUCAAGUCAUCAUGGCCCUUAUGACCGGGCUACACACGUACUACAAUGGUCGGUACAGACGGUCGCAAGCUCGCGAGAGUAAGCUAAUCCGAGAAAACCGAUCGUAGUCCGGAUCGCAGUCUGCAACUCGACUGCGUGAAGUCGGAAUCGCUAGUAAUCGCAAAUCAGAAUGUUGCGGUGAAUACGUUCCCGGGCCUU